CGUGUAGGCGGCAGUGCAAGUCCGGUGUGAAAUGCCCCGGCUUAACCGGGGAGACGCGCUGGAAACUGUGCUGCUUGAGUUUAGGAGGGGGAGCUGGAAUUCCUGGUGUAGGGGUGAAAUCUGUAGAGAUCAGGAAGAACACCGGUGGCGAAGGCGAGCUCCUGGCCAUAGACUGACGCUGAGGCGCGAAAGCGUGGGGAGCGAACA
rnacentral:rRNA from 1 species